GUCUGGUUGGUCGAAUGGAUAAGACGCUGUUGGGUAAGCCAAGGAGUUGCCUCGAGUAACAUGUUGGCCGGGCCCCGAGAUCCUGGUUCGAAUCCAGGACCGGGUA
rnacentral:tRNA from 1 species